rnacentral:rRNA from 1 species
UACGGAGGGUGCGAGCGUUGUUCGGAUUUAUUGGGCGUAAAGGGCGCGUAGGCGGCGCGGUAAGUCGGGUGUGAAAUCUCGGAGCUUAACUCCGAAACUGCAUUCGAUACUGCCGUGCUUGAGGACUGGAGAGGAUACUGGAAUUUACGGUGUAGCGGUGAAAUGCGUAGAUAUCGUAAGGAAGACCAGUGGCGAAGGCGGGUCUCUGGACAGUUCCUGACGCUGAGGCACGAAGGCCAGGGGAGCAAACGGG